rnacentral:lncRNA from 1 species
UAUACAAAACUAGAAGGUAAAAGAUGCCAUAAAAAGAAAAGAAAAUCUCCUUUUAAUCCACUCCUGAAUGAGUGAUCCUGACUAGAUGGUCCUGGAGCUCUGUCAUGCUCAAACUCCGGUAAGUAGAUCCACACCUGUAUGAGAAAACUUCAAAUCAACACUAUAUGAGACAAUAACAUUCCCUACUGAACACAUGCAAGACAGUUGUGUCUAUUUUUCUAAAAUUAACCCAUGUGGCUAAAAGUAGCUAAAAAUGCAAGAUUUGGCUAAGAUCCCGCGAAGCUAAGAACCUAAGACUUAUUAGGAAGAUUGGACCCUAUGUGGGCUGCCUACGUAUCACACCCCGAAAGACGAGAAUCAAGUAUGCGUAGUUCGGGCAGAUUGGAUACAUGCGAGAAUUAAAAAAUAACUAAUUUGAGAAAAUAUGUUUUUUUGUCUAAAAAAAAUGAUGAAACAUGUGAAUUCUUUUUGGAUUUUCUUUUCCCCUUUUUUGAUUUUUUUUUAUUUUCGGAAAAUGAUGAAAAAGUGCAAAAUCUUUUUUUAUUUUUUUGAAUUUUCAUGUUUUUUUUUUCUUAACAAAAAUGUGACAGAAAACAUAAUUGGGCUCUACUUGUUUUACUUUUACACUUCACACUCUUUUUUCUUUUUUCUUUUUUAUUCUUUUCCCUCAACUAUCAUUGGUCUGCCAAAUGACCCUUUUACUCUUGAAGAAAUGCAACAUGUAGCACAUAUGUUGCAUUAAGAUGAUCUGUUAUUUUGGGUACACCUGUCCUAGAUGGACCCAACCCCUGUGUUGAGUCCCCAAAGUCAAAUGCACGUGAUGCAAAUAAACGUUCCUACUAGGGAUCCGACAUAAGGCUGUGUUUUUCUAGGUUUAAAUCCUGGGGUUGUGUUCUAGACUUGGAUUACCCGAGCGGACAAUUGGGGCCGAAGAGGGGGCAACGUACCGGGAGCACUGAGUCUGCUCAGCCUUGUUGCUGGCCCAGCCUCGUUCUAUUUAGCAUAACUUCUACAGAAAAAGCGGGCCACGCGAAUGUGUACACCAUUUCAGAAGACUUAGAGGGGUGGCGUAAACAGACAACAGUUAGCACAAAAGGUUCACAUAAUACAGUAAUAUUAACAAUAAAUGAAGCCAAGUAAAAAUCAUAUUAACAAGCUCGAAUUCUAGAACCUUGAACCAGAUGUUUUGGGUUCUGAUCCCCAGCAGAGUCGUCAGAGCUGUCACACCUCCUUUUUCCUACCCCCGAGAGGGAAAAAGGGAGUUUUUUUCAAUUUUAGUGACAAUCGAAACGGGAUUAUUUUUUUAAGAUCAGAGUCGCCACUUAGGAUAAUUUAGGGUGUCCCAAGUCACCAGUUUAAAAUCUCGAGUCGAGGAAAUUUGACACUAUUUACGGUCUGCGAAUACAGAAAUCUGUGUAAGGAAUACUGUUAACCCGGGAGAAAAUGUUAGGCAUUCCCGAGUUUUGUGGUUCUAGCACGGUUGCUUUAAUCAUACUUGGCUUAAUCAAAUUGUUUAAUUACUGAUGUUAGAACCUAUGUGCUUUUGCCUCUUUUAAUUAAAAAAUCAUCUUGAAACGGGUCACACGUACGUGUACCCAUUAGUUUGACGCAUCCAAAAUCAUGUCAUGCGAACGUGUCCACAAUUAAUAACGCUUUAUUAUUAUUAAGAAAAUUUUGGCCAAAGUUGCUGGAACGCAUACUCCGGUUUUGUAUUUAGAACCGUAAUCAUGUCAUGCGAACAUGUCCACAAUCACGAUGAUAUAUUAAACGUGUCUAGAGCAAAGCUAUGAAUGUUCAUGGUUAUUCUUAAAGCUAAUUUGAGCUUAUUGUAAGGUCACGAAUUAUAGAAAUUAUAAGAUAAUUAAACCAUUUAAGAUUCCCUUAGCUAGUCCAUUAGAUCAUUAAGAUGUUGGAGAAGUCCUGUUACUUACUAAAUUCAUUAAUACUGGACUUUGCAGAAAUCCUGACUUAAUGAGACUCAAAACCAUUGAAAAGGGCAGAACCAAUCCUUAUUGUUCAAAAAUAAAUUCCACAAGCUCAUUAAAGGUUCUAACAUGAACUACUGAUUUUGCCAACUUAAUCCUCUAACAAAUUAAUGCAUUUAUUCAAGAAUAGAGGCCAUAGACAUCAUCAAAAGAUAAACUAAUUAAAAUAACCAAGAGAGAUGCUACGAACUAAAGCAGUAGAACCAAACCCAUGAAUUUCAUAACCAUAUAACAUCAUUCGAACACAAAAUGGAAUAACUAUACUCAAGUAAAGUUAGACAAGAGGAUAAGUGAGGAACCUUUGAAUAAGCUUUCCAAGAUAUGGACAAAUGAGUCAAAUGUACAGCAACAAAUCGUUUGGAUCUCACGGACCACAUACGAAGACCUCGACGAACAACCUCGCCCCCGACAGUACCUCAAUCAAGAUUUCAAGACAAAUUGAAUGGAUAACAUCUGAAAUAAGCCAAGCGAAGCUUGAAACAAGAUUCAUGUUCCUCUCAUGCUCACAAAAGCUCAACUGGUUCGCUACUGCCCCUUUCUCAUUUUUGUGCACGUGUGUGACUGUGUGUGAUUAUGUUUUGGCGAGAGGGAGAUGAGUGUCAUGUUUUCGUGACAGAAUAAAAGGGAGGAUAUCAUCUACUACUGUGCGUGGCUAUUCAUGGGUGUCUCUUAUGAAAAUGGAGGAUGGUUUGUUCCUUGAAGAGAAGGGGCUGUUAUGGUAGUUAUGGAGGGGUCAUGACUGAGGCUGGUUGUUUGUGCCCUGGUUGCAGAAGGUUAGGGUGGGGAUGGGGUUGUUUUGGUCAUAAAUGGCACUGAUGGUUGUGUGUUCUUGGUUAGGAUGAAGCCAUGGCAGAUCUCUCAUUUUUUUUGCUGAAGGAGAUGAAGAACGGG